rnacentral:rRNA from 1 species
AGUAAAGUGGCGUACGGGUGAGCAACACGUGGAUCAUCUACCCUGGAGUGGGGAAUAACGCUGGGAAACCGGCGCUAAUACCGCAUAAUCCCGAGAGGGCAAAGGAGCAAUUCGCUUCAGGAGGAGUCCGCGGCCGCUUAGCUAGUUGGCAGGGUAAAAGCCUACCAAGGCAACGAUCGGUAGCCGGCCUGAGAGGGCACACGGCCACACUGGCACUGAAACACGGGCCAG